CCUACGGGAGGCAGCAGUGGGGAAUAUUGGACAAUGGGGGGAACCCUGAUCCAGCGACGCCGCGUGAGUGAAGAAGUAUUUCGGUAUGUAAAGCUCUAUCAGCAGGGAAGAAAGAAAUGACGGUACCUGACUAAGAAGCCCCGGCCAACAACGUGCCAGCAGCCGCGGUAAUACGUAGGGGGCAAGCGUUAUCCGGUUUUACUGGGUGUAAAGGGAGCGUAGAGGGCGAUGCAAGUCUGAAGUGAACGGCGGGGGCCCAACCCCCGAACUGCUUUGGAAACUGUAUGGCUGGAGUGCAGGGGAGGUAAGUGGAAUUCCUAGUGUAGCGGUGAAAUGCGUAGAUAUUAGGGGGAACACCAGUGGCGAAGGCGGCUUACUGGACUGUAACGGACGUUGAGGCUCGAAAGCGUGGGGAGCAAACAGGAUUAGAUACCCUUGUAUC
rnacentral:rRNA from 1 species